GUGACACCUCGAGAUCAAUGAUCAUCACGUUGGACAGACAUCGUUCCUCCAUCAGGCGCAUGUCCAGGACCAUCAGGAUCCUCUUGGAAAUCGCUUGUAUGGAGAAAUUGUCUAUUGCCGUGUCUCGUAAUCGCAAAACAGUGACACGAUGCCCCUCUUCUGUCAGGGAUGGCAGGACGAAAUAAUAUCUGGAUUAUAGAACCAAAAAAAAUAGAGAGUAAAAAGAGUUACAUGGAUUCGCAGCAUUCUUGAAUGUCCUUCGAUAGCGGAUCCCGUAGAGAGAAGAACUCGGGUAUCGCCGUGCGCACGCUAAAGUAUCGUUCUAAAAUAAUCUUGCACCUCUCGAUGCUGUUCUUGCAGCCGAAGAGGAAUCUCUCCAGUCUUGCGUCAUCUGGAAUCAAUCAUUCCAAAUCUCUCUGUAAAUCCUAUAUGUAAUUACAGUUUACGAGCGACGAUUCUGCCAUUACAAAUAGCAGAAUGCAUAACGACACUCAUCUCUCUCAUGAAGAGUAUUAUAUCUGAUUACCAUUAGAAGCAGUUAAAGACAGUUACUAGUCAAAUUCGUUAUUAGGUAAUAGAUUCAGCAGUCUUCGAAGGAUUUGAGAGUCGAUAGUUUCAUAGAAAAGUGAAUUAGACCGGACCCAUAUGAUUAGGCAGAUGAGGCUGUUUCGAAAGCCAUUCCCUAAUCGCUGCUAUGUCAUUUUUCAGCAUUUUUGAGUCUACUGGAAUUUCUUCGUCGAUACGCUUCUGUUGUGCAGCGGUUGGCGGCAACAGCGUCAUUUUGGCCUGCGAAGUACAUACAUAUAUUUUUCACUCUCGCAUCACCUAUUAUUUUUUUCUUAAUAAUACGUAAAACGAUUGAAGAGUUUACAGUGAAUUCAAUGCGAAUUUGAAGCUCAGUUUUGAGUCUAGAAUUAUGAUACUUGAUGAUCUACUCUACUAUUAGAUAAUUCUUUACAAUAAGAUGGUGCGUUUGUUUGACAGUCCUUGUUUGACAGUCCAUCUUUCUCGAAAGUUACAGUAUCCGUGGAAAACUAUCGGCGACGACAGACCGAUCCUCGAAAGAAAAAGAUCACUAUCACAACCUGUUCAAUAUUGACGUUGGUCGCGCAGCAUCAUCCAGCCUGUUUGCGCACCGAGUGGAGCACCUCCUCGAGGUUCCUUUAAUUUCAUGUUUACUUGCCUUUGAAGUAUUUUUCAGAUAUCGUACACGAUGUAUCGGCGUAGCGAAAUUUUUCAAUGCUAAUACGAUACCUAUGACGUCGCUCCGACCGUAAUAUGUCAAUACCCGUGUGUUUGACAACCUUUUAAUUACCAAAUGGCUGGUAAAAUGAAGCGCGCACGCAAAUAGAAUAGAGAUCGCGUGUUUUCAGGAACGCUUAGCAUGAUUGUGCCAUAACGAAUUAUUCUUGAAACUGACAAAAAUUGUCGAGUACUGCGAUCGCAUUUUCAACGACGGUUUGCGCAAAUUACAAAAGCUGGAAGGUGAAACGGUAGGAGAACUAUGCCUGGAGGGACUUGACACCUGACCAGAAUUCGAUGCCGGUUGCAUCACUGCCGAAUCUAGAGUACAUCGAUGUGGCUUUGCCGUAGAAAGUGCGCAAUUUCGAAUUGAGAAAUAGGAUGUUGUGGGUGAAAGGACGCUGUACGUGAGCGAAAUUGAUGAGACUAUCGUAAAAAGACACGUAAACGUCACCACGAAAAUAAAGAAUACGAGGAUACAUUUUACGCCCCGAAAUCAGCAAAUCAUUUUUAAUUCUUCGUGCAAGCUUAAAUGAAUUAAAUUUAUGUUUUCAAGAUAUAUAAAAAAAUAUGAAAUAUAAGAUCUCAACUAUGUAAACAUAUGAAAUGCUGAAAAGCGAAUUAGAAAAAAUUGUAAAAGGAUUGUUCAACUCACCCGAAAAUAGAACGAUCGUCGGCGCACCAAUUUCGGUAUGAAUGCAGGCUGUAAUUGUCACUAAAUAUCGCGAAGAAAUUUCGGCGGAUAAAAAAGAGUACUGUAUGCGGAGUCUAUGGCGAACGUCUCUAAACUGCACCGAGUGUUCGAUCGGCAUUCGAUCCGGCCCAGAGCGAUUCCUCUCUUCCGGAGACCACGAGUGGUCCCCACCAUCCUGCAUAGCACACAAGGCGGGCCUAGGAAAAUGACCGAACGCGUUGUUUUCUCUGGGCGCGAACGUGUCGAAGGUGCAUGCACGGUUUUCGUAAUCGUCGCAUUACCGUCUACGUGAACGGAUUUUGCUUAUGUGACCGCAACGGUGGUCGUGGAGACACGAAGAACACCGUGAGAACCAAGAGACGAAGAUUCGUCAAUCUAAAAUCAUAGCGAAACAAUACCAUUUUGCACAUUUGGCUCUGCUCGUCUUACGUUGACGAGUUUCAAGGACGCAGAAAUCUACCGAGAACCGCCAUUUUGCGAAGAUUUGGCCUUCUUCCUGGCAAAUAGAGAAUGUAAUGACGGUUUUAGAAGCGGUUAUUAAAGAUUAUUUUAGGAUGGAGAAUAAGUUUCGGCAAGGCCAAAGUGUAGGCGAAUGUAAUUGCUGGCUUCGACGAUUAGAAAAUGAUAGCUCGGCGAACGGAAGUUGGCAACGCUCGGCCGACAGCUCGCCGAUACACGAUAGAGCUCGGAUAAAUUGUGAAAAUUACCAGACAUGUUAGAGCGACGGGAAAAUUGAUUGAAGAGGUCCGCGACGCUUGCGAAAUGUUCGAUUGUCUGUCUAUACCCAACGGCAUUUACCUCACCAGCAUUUGGUGCACUCUGUUCUCAAGUUAUCAAAAACUUCUCGGUGCUUCCGGAGAAAAUCCGAACGAGUGUCGAGGUAUGAGAAUCUCAGCAGACGAUAUGAACGCUUCCAGCCCUCUGCACUGUUCCUUCAACACCAUGGAAAACCAUGUCUCUCCUGACCCGAAUGACUCGAAGGAUCCUAAUCACCGUAAGAUUAUUAUCCCGAGACCGGCGUCGAAGGAAACUUGAAAUAUAAAUUAAUUGUAUUAAAUACGUUUAUACGGUAUAUCGAAUGUUGAGUGUUCGAGUUACAAUAAACCCUUAAAACGAAACAGCGGAAGGGGUGAGAUCAAACUCUUAAA